rnacentral:misc_RNA from 1 species
GCAAUGAUGCGCAUUGCCCAUUUCACAAACUGGGCUACACCAACGUCCACACUUCCAUCUUUUGAGAUCACAAAUUUCCUCACUAUCCAGUAACCUAAAGCAGCUCCUGCGAGAACAAUCCCCACUAACACAAAUACAUAGACUGGAUUGUGCAUCUCUUCACUCAGCCCAAAGUUGAUGAGAAUGGAAUUUACCAGCACCGAAAUGUGAUGUAAAACAAAAGUGCCAGCUCCAAGCACUGAUCCAUAUAUGGAAAGAUAGAAGAAAUUUUUCCUUCCAGU